rnacentral:hammerhead_ribozyme from 1 species
AUCCAGGUGACGAGUCUCGAAUAGGACGUAAUGCACAUCUUGGAU